UACGGAGGGGGCUAGCGUUGUUCGGAAUUACUGGGCGUAAAGCGCACGUAGGCGGCUUUGUAAGUUAGAGGUGAAAGCCCGGGGCUCAACUCCGGAAUUGCCUUUAAGACUGCAUCGCUAGAAUUGUGGAGAGGUAAGUGGAAUUCCGAGUGUAGAGGCGAAAUUCGUAGAUAUUCGGAAGAACACCAGUGGCGAAGGCGACUUACUGGACACAUAUUGACGCUGAGGUGCGAAAGCGUGGGGAGCAAACAGG
rnacentral:rRNA from 1 species